rnacentral:rRNA from 1 species
UAGCCGUAAACGAUACUCGCUAGGUGUCGGCCACGGUGCGACCGUUGUCGGUGCCGUAGGGAAGCCGUGAAGCGAGCCACCUGGGAAGUACGGCUGCAAGGCUGAAACUUAAAGGAAUUGGCGGGGGAGCACAACAACGGGUGGAGCUUGCGGUUUAAUUGGAUUCAACGCCGGAAAUCUUACCGGGACCGACAGCAACAUGAAGGCCAGGCUGAAGACUUUGCCGGAUUAGCUGAGAGGUGGUGCAUGGCGUAGUCGUGU